UACGAAGGGGGGCUAGCGUUGCUCGGAAUCACUGGGCGUAAAGGGUGCGUAGGCGGGUCUUUUAAGUCAGGGGGUGAAAUCCUGGAGCUCAACUCCAGAACUGCCUUUGAUACUGAAGAUCUUGAGUUCGGGAGAGGUGAGUGGAACUGCGAGUGUAGAGGUGAAAUUCGUAGAUAUUCGCAAGAACACCAGUGGCGAAGGCGGC
rnacentral:rRNA from 1 species